CCUGCCUACAAACUCAUAGAUUUGUAGAACAUACGUUCUGAAUAUUUACACGUUUUACUGACACAGUUGUUGUUUUGGCCAGCAGCCAUUUUCCCAUGACAACGAGCCCUCCGUGAGCUAUCUUGCUGUGCGGUGCCUCCUGAACUUUGUCCGUCACCCCUUUCCACGGCAAAAGGAGGAAUGCUCCCUUCUGCGAUGACAGGAAUGAGUGCUCCUACAACACAAACCAGGAUAGUGAGGCUGAGCUAUUAUCUGCGUGCUGGCACACUCUUGUGUAAUUUAGAGGGAUGCCUCACUGCAAGACCUGCUUUUCUGCGCCCUGGUUGUUUGGAGCUUUUAUACCCUUGACCACAUUUUGCCCUCUGGCCUGUACAAGCUCUGGAGCAUAGUGCACAUCUGACAAGACUGACCGCAGUCAGCUCUAGGCUUAAAGAAAAAAAAACGAACAGAUCCUUAUCUAAGUGUCUAUGAACUGGAGGAGAAAAAAAGCACUGUCUGGACCAUAGAUGGAAGUUCAACAAGUUCUACCUCAGCUUCUAUAAGGCUAUCAUAGUCCUGGUGCAAAAAGAAAGAAAAAGACUCUCUUAGACUAGAGCUUUGCAAAUGAUACCCCAAUUGUUAUCUAAAUGUCUGUACAGUUAUUUUAUUAGCUGCACUGCGUAUGAAGUGCCUGUCUCAUGCAGGCAGCUUCUCUUUCCAUCAGCAUCAGCCUGGCAUGGGAAGGGUCUCUCCUUUUUAUUUUCUUGGCUCAGCUAAGGUGAUUUAUUUCAAACUCAGAAGAGCUAGAUUCCACAAUCUGAUGGGGUAGAUAUUUAAUUUCAGGCUUGCACACAAAAUUUGGGAUCUAGUUCAGAUUUCCAGUUUGUUUUACCUUACGCUCAGAGCCAGUGGCUAGAUUACAGGGAGGAACUCUUCUCUCAAUAGUCCCCUUAUUUAUACUUAAGAUGAAUGUAAGACAGAGUCCCAAACCCAAAUGUCUCCCCAGUUUUAAGGAAAUUUGGACCUGGCUUCAAAAAUUUCAAAACCCUCUAAUCUACAUUUUGGAGAAGUUCAGACCCGGUUUAGCUUGAUCUCUAAUACUGACCCAUCAACCUGCCCUGUUACUGUUUAAUUUCUGCUGAGUUCUGCACAGUCCUUUUUCUGAUUAGCACUUUGUGCGUUUUGUGUCUGAGCCAAAGACCACAAAAAGCCUACAAGGAUCUCUUCGUGGAGUUCAGGGAUAGCUGCAUUAAGCUAUGACGUGUGUUUCCGUGUUCCUUCAAUCAUGUUUUUCGCAAAGUUGUGCUGUGAUUUGCUUCUGUCUUAUUGAAAAUACCAGAUCCUGGAUUUGACUGGAGUGACUCUUUGCUCCCUCCUUCCUGUGCUGAAGCGUUCAGUAACUUACGGAUGUCUUCCCAAGCAAUGUUAACAUUUGAUCCUGAAACCUUUGGUGACUUUCUGAUUGAUAUGCAGCCAGAGGCUACAAAAACCCACAUUUCCUGGAGUGAGUCCAAUAGCUGAAGAAAUUUGCAAAUGUUUUGUAAUAGGAAAGGGAACAACAUUUCCCAGAAUGUUGAGGAGGAAUUGCACAAAAUAAUGGUUACACACUGAGAUGGAGAUGACAUACAAUGCAGUAAAUACACUGCAAGGCUGAGUUAUUCAUGGAGAAAGGAAAUUUGCUGCUCACUUGUGGGAGUGGAAAUUUGAAUGGACCUAAGGUCUUAAAAUAAAAUAAGUUAGAUGGUUUCA
rnacentral:lncRNA from 1 species